rnacentral:lncRNA from 1 species
GGGAGCCUCACUGGUGCCUGGAUAAGGAGAGGAAAGCCUUGUACACAGGCCUUGAUAUCUCCUUAGUAAAGUUGUAUUUCAGUGAAGGACAUUGAUAGAGAUUCUCAAAAAAAAACUUUGCUCUGAAAGAAGGGGGGUAGUAGACGGAAAAUGCAGCACAGCAUUUCAGAACAAGAAGUCCUCUCCCAGAUUUACAUUUUCCAAACCAUUGACGUAUGUGAAAGAAAACAGACGAUAAAUUUUCAUUCUCAGCGCACAUUUCAAGUCAUCACUUCAAUUAUUCCUAUCAGUCCGGUUGUCUGCUGCACUCCCAUUUUUUUUUUUACCUCCCCCAACAUAUGAAUGAUACUUCUCAAGUUUUCAGAAGUUCUACAAAACAGUGCUUUUUGUGCACCCAAUCUGCAGGUGCAGCAAAGACCUUGGCAAGGGGCAAAUGGAUUAUCACUUACGAAAACAGUUACAUCGUAUUGUUCAUAUUUCUUCAAGGUCUUGAGCAAGGCAUAAAUUCUCAUGAAAACGAAGCUAUUGCAGUCCCAGCAUCAGACAGCUAAACAGCCUUUAAAUCCAAGUCCUAAAUACUGCGCAGCAGUUCCAACUUCAUUAAAAGAAGACAGUGUGCUUUUACUGAUUUAUGAUUCUGCUUCUGAUCCCUGCUACGAAAAUGACUACAUUUCUUCUUUCCGGGAGCUUCAUUUUCUUGUUUAUUCUUUAUACCCUCGCCACAUCUUGAUUUGGCUCGUUGUUCCUUUUUCCUAUGCAUAUACUUCUUUGAGAGUUUGA